CCUUCUAUCAUCUCUCCCCAUCUUUCCAUCCUUUCUACUAUCACUUCAUUCAAGUACCUCUUUAACUUGAAUCCACACCUCUAUAACCUCGUGGCCUCUGAUUUUUUCAAUUAAAACCAUUACCACGUUGUUCUAGGCUUUGCUACCGGAGUGGAACAAAGGUACAAUUAGACUUCAAAAGGAUAACUUGGAGUAUUUGUUUCCGCAAAAGCUUAGUGGUGAAAAUAACCUUACCGGCGUAGGGUUUGUUAUCACACUGAUUCUGUUGGUUAUCUUCUUAAUUUUGCUAUGCUUAUAUACCAUUGAAGAUGAGAACCCGUGGAUUCCAGUGAUCGGGAUACCCUACAAAGAGGAUACAAGUACCGAGAUAUUCAAUGCUUCAGUAUACAUAUUACCUUUGGGUUUUAUGUAUACUUUUGUGGAUAUGGAAUGAUGCCAUUCUUUUACCUGCAUAUGCGUGAGACAAAAACACUAUGGAAUAAUCGUCUUUGUGAUGCAAGAGCUCUAUUUAGACAUUUCUGUAUCUUCUUUGGCAAGUCUUUUAAUCAUCUAGUUUUUAACUUUUUCCUUGAUUUGUAUGUCACGGAAUAGAAUAUUGAUAAGCACAACUUUGUAUGUCGGCGUUGCGUCCGUGGGAUAUAUAAUAUUUGGUGAUGACGUCCAACUGGCGCUCAAGCUAAAUCUCCUGCAAAAGUAGACAUGUCACCACUAAAAUUCAUAUUAUCUUGCGUUGUAAUAUAUGUCACGGUAUGUGAUUAUAUUGUGUUAAAGAGAUUUUUAUUUGACAAAUAUACGAAUUUUUUAUUUCA